rnacentral:tRNA from 1 species
GGGAUUGUGGCUUAGUAGUAGAGCGCUUGCCUAGCAUGUAUGAGGCACUGGGUUCAAUCCUCAGCCCCA